GGUGGCCUAGUGGUUAGAGCAUUUGCCUAAGAUGCAGGAGGUCGUGGGUUCGAUCCCCAGCCAAGUCA